rnacentral:rRNA from 1 species
UACGAAGGGUGCAAGCGUUACUCGGAAUUACUGGGCGUAAAGCGUGCGUAGGUGGUUGUUUAAGUCUGUUGUGAAAGCCCUGGGCUCAACCUGGGAAUUGCAGUGGAUACUGGGCGACUAGAGUGUGGUAGAGGGUAGUGGAAUCCCGGUGUAGCAGUGAAAUGCGUAGAGAUCGGGAGGAACAUCCAUGGCGAAGGCAGCUACCUGGACCAAC